rnacentral:rRNA from 1 species
UACGUAGGGAGCAAGCGUUGUCCGGAUUUAUUGGGCGUAAAGAGCUCGUAGGCGGUUUAGAAAGUCAGGUGUGAAACCUCCAGGCUCAACCUGGAGACGCCACUUGAUACUUCUAUGACUUGAGUUCGGUAGGGGUAAGCGGAAUUCCUGGUGUAGCGGUGAAAUGCGCAGAUAUCGGGAGGAACACCGGUGGCGAAGGCGGUUCUCUGGGCCUUACCUGACGCUGAGGAGCGAAAGCGUGGGGAGCGAACAGG